AGGUGGAGCUAAUCUCAUAAAGAUAGUCUCAGUUCGGAUUGUGGGCUGCAACCCGCCCACCAUGAAGUCGGAGUUGCUAGUAAUCCCGAAUCAGCAUGUCGGGGUGAAUGCGUUCCCGGGUCUUGUACACACCGCCCGUCAAGCCAUGGGAGUUGGGAGUACCCAAAGUCAGUGUCCUAACCGCAAGGAGGGGAGCUGCCUAAGGUAAUACCAAUGACUGGGGUUAAGUCGUAACAAGGUAGC
rnacentral:rRNA from 1 species